GGUGCACCAGUUGUCACGCCAGUGGCACAGCUGGGCAGCUAUGUUCGGAUCGGAUAAACGCUGAAAGCAUCUAAGCGUGAAGCCGGCCCUGAGAUAAGAUAUCCCACUGAGUCAAUCAGGUAAGACCCCUUGAAGACUACAAGGUUGAUAGGCACGAUGUGUAAGUGGAGUGAUCCAUUCAGCAAGCGUGUACUAAUAGGUCGAGGGCUUGACCCC
rnacentral:rRNA from 1 species